GGGAACAAUAUGGAGUCACAGACCCAAAUCCUAAUGUCCCUGCUGUUCUGGGUGUCUGGUGCCUGUGCAGAAAUCACAAUGACCCAGUCUCCAUCUUCCUUGGCUGUGUCAGCAGGAGAGAAGAUCACUAUCAGCUGCAGGGCCAGUCAGAGUCUUUACAACAGUAACUGGAAAACGAACUACUUGAACUGGUACCAGCAAAAACCAGGGCAGUCUCCUAAACUACUGAUCUACUAUGCAUCCACUCGGGGAACUGGAGUCCCUGAUCGCUUCAUAGGCAGUGGAUCUGGGACAGAUUUCGCUCUCACCAUCAACAGUGUCCAGGCUGAAGACCUGGCAGAUUAUUACUGCCAGCAUGCAUAUAGCACUUCUCCCACUUUGGGUUCUGGUACUCAAAUUGAGGUUUGA